rnacentral:lncRNA from 1 species
AGAAAACUGUGUAUCUUAUAAUCAGCAUGACUUUAUCAGAUGACAAUAUUAAUACUAAAAUAAGGCUUGCGCAUAGUUAUAUACUUUAAUUCAGUCACGGACCCGCGAUAUACGGGUGUGUUCUAGUUGUGUUUAAAUAAUGUCUAACUUUUUAUGACCCAUUAACAGAUUUCAAUCUUAACUCUUUUAGUUAGAUUGCAAUUAUUCAGAUUCCACUGCAAAUACAUACCAUUGAAUUUUAAUUACAAAACCUAUAAUUAUCUUGCAAAUC